rnacentral:rRNA from 1 species
CCCUUAGAUGUUCUGGGCCGCACGCGCGCUACACUGAUGCAUUCAACGAGUCUAAAACCUGCUCUGAUAGGGGUGGGUAAUCUUUUGAAUGUGCAUCGUGAUUGGGAUAGAUGAUUGAAAUUUUUCAUCUUCAACGAGGAAUGCCUAGUAAACGCAAGUCAUCAGCUUGCGUCGAUUACGUCCCUGCCCUUUGUACACACCGCCCGUCGCUCCUACCGAUUGGGUGUGCUGGUGAAAUGUUCGGAUCGGCCGUUUGUCGCGGUUUCCGCGUCAUGUGGCUGAGAAGUUCAUUAAACCCUCCCACCUAGAGGAAGGAGAAGUCGUAACA